AACGAACGCUGGCGGCAUGCCUAACACAUGCAAGUCGAACGAAGCCUUCGGGCUUAGUGGCGCACGGGUGCGUAACGCGUGGGAAUCUGCCCCUUGCUUCGGAAUAACAGUUAGAAAUGACUGCUAAUACCGGAUGAAGUCUUCGGACCAAAGAUUUAUCGGCAAGGGAUGAGCCCGCGUAGGAUUAGGUAGUUGGUGGGGUAAAGGCCUACCAAGCCGACGAUCCUUAGCUGGUCUGAGAGGAUGAUCAGCCACACUGGGACUGAGAUACGGCCCAGACUCCUACGGGAGGCAGCAGUGGGGAAUAUUGGACAAUGGACGCAAGUCUGAUCCAGCAAUGCCGCGUGAGUGAUGGAGGCCUUAGGGUUGUAAAGCUCUUUUACCAGGGAUGAUAAUGACAGUACCUGGAGAAUAAGCUCCGGCUAACUCCGUG
rnacentral:rRNA from 1 species